UGGGGAAUAUUGCACAAUGGGCGAAAGCCUGAUGCAGCAACGCCGCGUGAGUGAUGAAGGCCUUCGGGUUGUAAAGCUCUGUCUUCUGGGACGAUAAUGACGGUACCAGAGGAGGAAGCCACGGCUAACUACGUGCCAGCAGCCGCGGUAAUACGUAGGUGGCAAGCGUUGGCCGGAUUUACUGGGCGUAAAGGAUGCGUAGGCGGAUACUUAAGUCCGAUGUGAAAAUCCCGGGCUUAACUUGGGAACUGCAUUUGAAACUGGGUAACUAGAGUGCGGGAGAGGAAAGUGGAAUUCCUAGUGUAGCGGUGAAAUGCGUAGAGAUUAGGAAGAACACCAUUGGCGAAGGCGACUUUCUGGACCGUAACUGACGCUGAGGCAUGAAAGCGUGGGGAGCAAACA
rnacentral:rRNA from 1 species